rnacentral:rRNA from 2 species
GAGGACCGGAGUGGACGCAUCACUGGUGUUCGGGUUGUCAUGCCAAUGGCACUGCCCGGUAGCUAAAUGCGGAAGAGAUAAGUGCUGAAAGCAUCUAAGCACGAAACUUGCCCCGAGAUGAGUUCUCCCUGAGACUUAGAGUCUCCUGAAGGAACGUUGAAGACGACGACGUUGAUAGGCCGGGUGUGUAAGCGCAGCGAUGCGUUGAGCUAACCGGUACUAAUGAACCGUGAGGCUUAACCUU